GAGGAACACCACUGGCGAAGGCGGCUUUCUGGUCUGUUACUGACGCUGAGGAGCGAAAGCGUGGGGAGCAAACAGGAUUAGAUACCCUGGUAGUCCACGCCGUAAACGAUGAGUGCUAAGUGUUAGAGGGUUUCCGCCCUCUUAUUGCUGCAUCUAACGCAUUAAGCACUCCGCCUGGGGAGUACGGUCGCAAGACUGAAACUCACAGGAAUUGACGGGGGCCCGCACAACGCGGUGGAGCAUGUGGUUUAAUUCUAAGCUACGCGAAGAACCUUACCAGGUCUUGACAUCCUCUGACAGCUCUAGAGAUAGAACGUUCCCCUUCGGGGGACAGAGAGACAUGUGGUGCGUGGGUGUCCUCCUCGCGUGUCGAGAGAUGGUGGGUUAAGUCCCGCAACGAGCG
rnacentral:rRNA from 2 species